GUGGCGGGUGGUUUGAUGGCUUUCCGAGUUUUCUGCCGGGGGGCUUGUCCCUCACCGCUUCACUCGGGAGAAAGUCCCCAGAUAACGUGCAGAGAGUGCAACCGCGAAAGCGGAUUACGCGAGCGGCCGGCUAAAAAUGUGGACGGUGAUGCCGUUCGCGGCGGAGUCCUCGGCGUUGCGGAGCGUGCCUUAUCACAGCACAGUUAUGCCUUCAUCGGGCCUGUAACUGGGCCUAAUUCAAUGGGGCUUAUUAACCAGACGCCA
rnacentral:RNase_MRP_RNA from 1 species